GUGAGGAAUUUUCCGCAAUGGGCGAAAGCCUGACGGAGCAAUGCCGCGUGAAGGAUGAAGGCCUAUGGGUUGUAAACUUCUUUUCUCAGAAAAGAAUUAUGACGGUAUCUGAGGAAUAAGCAUCGGCUAACUCUGUGCCAGCAGCCGCGGUAAGACAGAGGAUGCAAGCGUUAUCCGGAAUGAUUGGGCGUAAAGCGUCUGUAGGUUGUUUAAAAAGUAUUCUGUCAAAGAUUAGGGCUUAACCCUAGAUAGGCAGAAUAAACUUUUAAGCUAGAGUUUGGUAGAGGCAGAGGGAAUUCCCUGUGGAGCGGUGAAAUGCGUAGAUAUCGGGAGGAACACCAAAGGCGAAGGCACUCUGCUGGGCCAAUACUAACACUGAGAGACGAAAGCGAGGGGAGCAAAUGGGAUUAGAAACCCGAGUAGUCC
rnacentral:rRNA from 1 species